GACAGCUCUGAGAUGGCUUCAGGCUGAAACCAGACCCUUGCACAACACCAAAACACUUAUUUACCAAACAUGGUGUUACCUUCACAAUCGGUUUCUUUGCUUUGCUAAGAAGAGAUCUCUUCAAGAUCGAUAAAACAGUGACCUCUGUUGGGCAUUUACUCAAGUUUUGUUUCGUGCAUAACAUUUCAGGACCCGCCUGUUGGGGAAAGUGAGGUCAUCCAUUCUUCACCGAUUGUCUAAACAGAGACGGUGGUCCUCUGCCGCGGUGGGAUUCUUUGGUGUGAAAAUGAAAAUGGGGGAGGAUGGCUGGAUGGUUUCAUUUUUAGUGCUCUCCUGUCUUAAGCAACGUAGACACUCCUGAACCAAGUUCUCUUUCCUGCAUGAAACGAAGCCACUGCUCCCAGCUCCGCAGCCGUGCACUGUGAUCCGUCUAUGUAAUGUGAGCUUGCUUUUACUCAACUAUCUAUUUUUUAGAAAAUACAAUUCAAUAAAUUUCAAGUACUUGAACUGAGUGACACAAUACAACACACAGAUUUAUCUUUUCAAUAAAAAGUGUUUUUUAAAUAGGAAGU
rnacentral:lncRNA from 10 species